rnacentral:siRNA from 1 species
GCUGCAGCUUAGGACAAUUCGGCC